rnacentral:rRNA from 1 species
UACGUAGGUCCCGAGCGUUGUCCGGAUUUAUUGGGCGUAACGCGAGCGCAGGUGGUUUAUUAAGUCUGGUGUAAAAGGCAGUGGCUCAACCAUUGUAUGCAUUGGAAACUGGUAGACUUGAGUGCAGGAGAGGAGAGUGGAAUUCCAUGUGUAGCGGUGAAAUGCGUAGAUAUAAGGAAGAACACCAGUGGCGAAGGCGGAUGACUGGACGGCAACUGACGGUGAGGCGCGAAAGCGUGGGGAGCAAACAGG